GAUGAAGAACGCAGCGAAAUGCGAUAAGUAAUGUGAAUUGCAGAAUUCAGUGAAUCAUCGAAUCUUUGAACGCACCUUGCGCUCUUUGGUAUUCCGAAGAGCAUGCCUGUUUGAGUGUCAUGAAAAUAUCAACCUUGACUUGGGUUUUGUGCUCUAGUCUCGGCUUGGAAUUGGGUGCUUGCCGCUUUUACGAGCGGCUCACCUUAAAUGUAUUAUCUGGAUCUGUCUUUGAGACUUGGUUUGACUUGGCGUAAUAAGUAUUUCGCUAAGGACAUUCUUCGGAGUGGCCUCGUUUCUAGGACGCUUGUCCGCUUUCCAAUACAAGUUCCACCUCGUGGACAUGACUUUUUAUUAUCUGGCCUCAAAUCAGGUAGGACUACCCGCUGAACUUAAGCAUAUCAAUAAGCGGAGGA
rnacentral:misc_RNA from 1 species